rnacentral:rRNA from 1 species
GGGUUGUACGGCACCUUUUGUUAGUCUGCUCGGCCUCCUUUCUGUCGGGGACGAGCUCCUGGGCUUAACUGUCCGGGACUCGGAAUCGGCGAGGUUACUUUGAGUAAAUUAGAGUGUUCAAAGCAAGCCUACGCUCUGAAUACAUUAGCAUGGAAUAACACGAUAGGACUCUGGCUUAUCUUGUUGGUCUGUAAGACCGGAGUAAUGAUUAAGAGGGACAGUCGGGGGCAUUCGUAUUUCAUUGUCAGAGGUGAAAUUCUUGGAUUUAUGAAAGACGAACUUCUGCGAAAGCAUUUGCCAAGGAUGUUUUCAUUAAUCAAGAACAAAAGUUGGGGGCUCGAAGACGAUUAGAUACCGUCGUAGUCUCAACCAUAAACGAUGCCGACUAGGGAUUGGCAGGUGUUUCGUUGAUGACCCUGCCAGCACCUUAUGAGAAAUCAAAGUUUUUGGGUUCCGGGGGGAGUAUGGUCGCAAGGCUGAAACUUAAGGAAUUGACGGAAGGCACCACCAGGCGUGGANCCUGCGGCUUAAUUUGACUCACACGGGAAACUUAACCAGGU